GCACUUGGUCUCUAAAAGGUUUGCCAUCACUGAGCUAGUCCAUACACAUUUUCAGAAGGAUUGAACUGCUUCCAAUCAGAGAGGGAGAGAAACAAGGUCUGAGGUUGAAUACAAAGCACAUGCAGAAGAUUAGAAGCCAUAGGUGGAAGGCAACCCUAAGUUAUGGCCACAGCCACCAGCUGAGAUCCUUUGUGUGUUGUUUACCUAUUUACGCAAACCAUCAGUCUUCCAUUUGGACAUGUUUGCUGCUGUUUCGGAAUUUGUCUGGAGAUUCCUCUGUCAUUACCGGAGUCAGGUGGUAAAUUUUAAAAAUAGCAUUGAGCCACAUUUUCAUAUUUCUGCCUUACAACCAAAAUCAAUAUGCCUGAUCUUUUUUGUAUAAUGAAGUGUAUAGCUAUUUGUGUUUAGCUUGUGCCAAAUACCUUAUCUUAUUAUCUUAUCAUCUUAAUAUUGCAUUCCAAUUUUGCUUUUCCUCUGGGACUUUAAGACUGUAUAUGGAAAGGGCUCUCUUAUUUCAUCUCCACAACAACUUGAGGCAGGUUCGACUGAAAAAACAGUGGCUGGCCUUAAGUCAUCCAGUGAACCUUUUUAGACUAAUGAGACUCGAAUGGGCCUCCCCUGGCCACUACUUUUAACUACAAUGCUUCGUUGGUCUUUGUCUCCUCUCACCAAACCAGGUUUUUUUUUGUGCACAGACAGCCUUCACAGCAAAGCUUCCCAAAGUGGAUUGUGGGAGUCAUGCACCAUUCAUUGCAGCUGAAACCACAAUGGAGGAGACAGAGGGCCUCCUUCUCCAUACUGAAGGUCAACCUCAGUAUUGCUGAACAAAUUCAAAUCCAAGAUCUUGGAGAAUUGCUGCUAAGACAAACUCUUGGAAGUACCAUGUAUGGAGAAUGAAGGAUCUGGCUCACCAGAAUUGAGCUUGUGAUUUCCCCUAUUUUGUGUGUUCCAAGAGCUGGCGGGAAUCUGAGUCGUCCUGCCUAUGCUUACGGCUGAGAUUGUUCCAUUUUGAUUUUUUUUUAAAAAAAAAAGCCUGACUUCCCCACGGAUGGGAGGUGGCGGAAAUGAGUCAGGGCAGAAUCUGGAAUAUGUUAAGAAUGGAAUCUGCCCCGCACUUGAGCCUGCUGGCUUUUCAAAUUUCAGCACUAGUUACCUCACGCCGUGCAGUUUUAUUGGUCAGAUUGAAAAUCCUACAUGAUUAGCAAUCAUCCUUGGGGCCAAUUCUCCCAUGAGCCACCCCUGCUGAAGAGGUUGCUGGAAACAUUUCUUCUGCGGAGGCAGCUCCUUAGAUUGGAAGGCUGGGUCUUCUGCUUUCCUUGGAAGGUGGCCGGGUUUCCUCCAGGCCCUUUCUUAGAGCUGCCUUUUCGGGAAGCCUUGCCAAGCAGAAUGCUACGGUCCUUUCCAUGCCUUUUGGGAGCUGCCAAUGCCUGGCACACAUGGUGAAGACCAAGCCGGGGGAGGAAAGGGCUGAGCCAGCAUUGGGGCGGGGUGAUACGAGCACAGAGGCAUGGGACACAUUUAUUCAGUAGUUUGGGGCUGAUGAGUUGCAGGUGAGCAGAUAACACAUGGUUUGGAUUUCAGAGAUUAAGGAGGAGGCGAUUGGAAACAUAUUGCUGGCUAAGCCAGCUGUCUCAUUCCAGGAGGGUGUGACCAGCAAAGAGCCAGAGCAGGCAGCCUUACCAGAAAUCAUACAGCAAGUCAAAAGCACAGGUCAUCCAGUCCAGUCCCUGCAGUCAACUACAGGUCAAGCCAAUCAGUCAAGACCACAAGCUGGCCACAGUCAUACAGCAAAUGUAUUUCUUGUGGUUAUUAAAGUUCCAGUGAGCAAAAAGCUCUGAGUGACUGAAGCCAGAGAGACAGGCUGUUUUUAUGACUUCAUGUGUAGCAUAGAUAAUCACGGUAAUUGCAACUUGGGAAGUCUCCUUCUCAAGACAGACCUCAUGUACUAAUUUUGCUUUUUGAAAUGUGGUGUCUUCCAGAUGUCUGAGAUGGCAUAACUCCCAAAGUUCCCUAUGAGUUUUGUAGUCCUAACACAUAUGGAAGAGAAUUUGGCUAAGAAGCCAGUUAACUGUUUUUUUAAAGCAAGUUGUUCUCUCUUAAAUGUCCCUUCACUAGGACUUUGGAAAUAAAUAAAGGCCUAUUUUAUAUGGCACUUAUAAGUUCAUUCUUUGUUAUGGCUAAGUAUAAGGUUAAUGGUGAAAAUGCUGCUGCUGCUGCUGUUAUAGAAAGAAACAAAAAGUUCUUCAAAGCAGGAGGCCUCAACUGAUCUUUCAACACCUUAUUUUGUAAUCAGUUUUGUCUCUGGCAUGUGCAUGUGAGGAUCCCAUCUAUUUGAAAGCAGCCCUGGAACUCUGCAAUCCCACUAUCUAGCUCACCACAAACAUACAAGAGAAAGGAAAAAGGAAAGGAAAGGAAAGGAAAGGAAAGGAAGGAAGAUUCCUAUUGCUUUCAAGUGUCUGCUUCCACAUUUGCAAGUCACUCUCUUUCAGCCCAAUUCACCAUUCAUGCUUGUUGUGAAAAACGGGAGGAAGAAAGAAUAAGUUAUGUGCACUGGCUCGAGUUAUUCAUAGAAAAAAUAAAGGCAGGAUUAAAAAUAAUUGAAUUAAAUAAAUAAACUGCUUCAGCUCCUUCCAAGGGAAAGGUAGCUUGACGGGCUUUGCACAUUUCCCUUAUAAUAAUUGCUGGAUUUUUUUCUGCAUAUAAGCAGAGAAAUUAUGAUAAAUAAGAAGAUGAACAAUAGAAAGAAAGCAGGUGAAAUAUUUAACAGAAUAACAGAAUUGGAAGGGACCUUGGAGAUCUUCUAGUCCACUCCCCUGCUCAGGCAGGAGACACUAUACCAUUUCAGACAAAUGGUUGUCCAAUUUUUAUUUCCCUUUUCCUUGGAAUGGGGAAUAAGGAAUUUCUUAUUUCUUCCAGAUGGGCAAUAAUUAUGUCUGCACAAAUGACCUUGUCUUGUACAGGGUGGGGGAGCCCAUUGGUUUACUCCCUACAAUCAAGUUAAAAUGCUACUCAUCCAUCCUUGAAGUGGCAGAAAAAUGAUACUGGUAUAAAAUAUGCUGUUCCCACCCCGACUGCCAAUCUCUACCCUCUGAUUGUGAUACCAAAUGGAAGUAUUCUGUUUGUUCUGUACAGGUCAAAUUAAGAAAGCAGAUGGAUGGAUUCCACCAGUUUUAUUUCUCUCUCUUUCCCGUGAUCACCAGCCAGCAGGAAAUGCCCACCAAUCAAGCUCUUUAAUGUGGUCUGGAGAGGAAAUGAGUUUUGAAAGAUAGCUGGAGCCAUUUGUCAAGAUGUGGUGCUGAGGCAGCUGAUUUGGGGGAUGGUGAAGGCUGCCUGGGAAAACAGAAGAGGCACUGCUGGUGAAGGCCGGCCCAUGAUUGCCCAAACACAGUUAGGAGGGGUAGUGGGAAAAGGGGGAAAUUGACUCCCCCCCUCCACUUUUUACCCACCAAAGUCCUGAUGCAAUGGAAUUGGGAGAAGCCAAUCUGUCAAGAUCUGUCAUGUAGUCCAGAAAACAGCUAGCAGAUAUGGGAGUGUGUGUGGAUGUAUGGCGAAGAAAGAGAGACCUGCUUCUCCACUCAGCCCCCCCCCCCAAAUGCCUGUCAGCUAUUUGGAGCACUAAUUUUAAACUAGGGUUUAGUGCUCUUCUGAAAGAAAAAUGCCUUCAUAUUCAGUUUGCUUUUGAACGUGGGUUUACCACUCUUUCAGAAAACAAAGCCAUCUUUAAAAGUUACGUGGCUGAGCGCUGUGCUCCAGAGACUGGGAAAGCUCUCUUCCAUUUUACUUCUCAGGGUCUGUCACGUGUACACAUGAUGCUUGUUUGCUGGUUUGUUUGUUUUUUAACAGCAUUUGGGGUUUAGCGUUUUCCUGCAAGGGUGGCAAGCCCAUGUUCAACAGGGGCUGAAAAACAGCUGAACAUCUGAAAAAUGGCUGAAGAUUGCAACUUGAAGCAAGGAAGACCUGUUUCUGCCGUUUCACCCUGCAAUCCACCCUCCCCCUAUUUCUAUCUUCAGAGAUCUGCUGUUCAGGAUCAUUCAUAUCUCCAAGUUGGGAUUUACACCUGGUUGUUACAGUCAAGUAGCCUGGUUUGAAAGAGCUGAGCUGUUUGCCUACACCAAGCAGAAUGGUCUUAGAACAAUGAUGACAUAAGUGUCAAAGAUGACAUGCCACAAUGUUUUUGGUAACACACUAGCAUUCGCUAUCAUCCUGAUAACAAUUAUUUUGGAAAGCACGCCCCAUUCUCAAGAACGCUCUCAUGCAGCCUCCAAAAGUCAUAGGAGAGGAACGUGCUUUCAUGUGGCCUCAGAAAAAUUGUGUGAAAAUGGCUUGUGUUUUUGCACUGUUUUCAGAGGCUGCAAAGGCCACAAAAGAGCAUUCUCUGAAGCUGCCUCCAGAAUGAAAGCCUUGUGUGACCUGGAACUGGCUUGGGUAGGCCGCAAGGGCCGGUUAACAGAAAGAGAAGACCUCUUGAAGACAGAUGUACACAGACACGUCCAUCAAGAAUGCACCAGUCUUGGAUUUUGUUUUUUGUUUUUGAAAAAGAAAACUACAGCCCAUGAACAUUCAACAGGUACUUCACAAAAACACCAAUCAGGUUGAUGCAAAUUGAACAGAUGUCAUCCCCUGUCCAUUCCAUCGACCCCAUUGUCAGUGAGACAUUGUGGAUCAUUUAUAGGCCACGAUUUGUAUGGGAAGAAGGAAAACACAAUUUUAAACUGGAACAACUACUAAAUAUGAAUGUAAGCUGGCUCCACGGUGGGUUGUGAAUGAGAGAAAAAAAUCAGUGCCAUGAGAAUAUACCCUCCAAAAAUGAUUUGUGAGAAAUCUUAAUGGUAUAAUGGGAGGGUUAUGAAGUGGAGGCUUUAAGAAACUAACAGAAGGAGAAGUGAAAGUAUGCAGUUUGACUGUCCCAUAAAAAAGGAAUUAUAUUUAAUAUAAGAUACUUUCUCAGAACAAAAGUAAGCCUAUUAAAAUGGUACCAAAAUC